rnacentral:rRNA from 1 species
CUAAUACCGAAUAAAGUCAAUUAAGAUGUUAGUUGAUGAAAGGAAGCCUUUAAAGCUUCGCUUGUAGAUGAGUCUGCGUCUUAUUAGCUAGUUGGUGGGAUAAGAGCCUACCAAGGCUAUGAUAAGUAACCGGCCUGAGAGGGUGAUCGGUCACACUGGAACUGAGAUACGGUCCAGACUCCUACGGGAGGCAGCAGCUAAGAAUCUUCCGCAAUGGGCGAAAGCCUGACGGAGCGACACUGCGGGAACGAAGAAGGUCGAAAGAUUGUAAAGUUCUUUUAUAAGUGAGGAAUAAGCUUUGUAGGAAAUGACAAAGCGAUGACGUUAAUUUAUGAAUAAGCCCCGGCUAAUUAUUUGCCAGCAGCCGCGGUAAUACGUAAGGGGCGAGCGUUGUUCGGGAUCAUUGGGCGUAAAGGGUGAGUAGGCGGAUAUGCAAGUCUAUGUGUAAAAUACCACAGCUCAACUGUGGAACUAUGCUGGAAACUGCAUGACUAGAGUCUGAUAGGGGAAGUUAGAAUUCCUGGUGUAAGGGUGGAAUCUGUUGAUAUCAGGAAGAAUACCAGAGGCGAAGGCGAACUUCUAGGUCAAGACUGACGCUGAGUCACGAAAGCGUAGGGAGCAAACAGGAUUAGAUACCCUGGUAGUCUACGCUGUAAACGAUGCACACUUGGUGUUAAUCGAAAGGUUAGUACCGAAGCUAACGUGUUAAGUGUGCCGCCUGGGGAGUAUGUUCGCAAGAAUGAAACUCAAAGGAAUUGACGGGGGCCCGCACAAGCGGUGGAGCAUGUGGUUUAAUUCGAUGAUACGCGAGGAACCUUACCAGGGCUUGACAUAUACAGGAUAUAGUUAGAGAUAACUAUUCCCCGUUUGGGGUCUGUAUACAGGUGCUGCAUGGUUGUCGUCAGCUCGUGCCGUGAGGUGUUGGGUUAAGUCCCGCAACGAGCGCAACCCUUGUUGUCUGUUACCAGCAUGUAAAGAUGGGGACUCAGACGAGACUGCCGGUGAUAAGCCGGAGGAAGGUGAGGAUGACGUCAAAUCAUCAUGGCCCUUAUGUCCUGGGCUACACACGUGCUACAAUGGCCUGUACAAAGCGAUGCGAAACAGUGAUGUGAAGCAAAACGCAGAAAGCAGGUCUCAGUCCAGAUUGAAGUCUGAAACUCGGCUUCAUGAAGUUGGAAUCGCUAGUAAUCGUAUAUCAGAAUGAUACGGUGAAUACGUUCUCGGGCCUUGUACAC